GCCAGUGUGAUGUACUGGUUUAGAUGUUGGACUAGGACUCUGGAGACUAGGGUUCAAAUCCCCACUCAGCCA